rnacentral:tRNA from 1 species
GCCCGGGUGGCGGAACGGUAGACGCGCUGGACUUAAAAUCCCGUGCCCUUUAGGGCGUGUGGGUUCGAUUCCCACCCCGGGCACCA